rnacentral:lncRNA from 10 species
CAGUGUUCAAGCAGGCUGAAGGUCAGAAUCUUGGCAGUUUGUUUCCUAGAAUAUACAACAUCAGACUGUGCUUCCUAAAAGUCCAGGAGAGUUCUUCUACGAGGCCAUGGAAUGUAAAGGAAAUGGCUGAGCAGCAGCUGCAAACAAUUACUAAGCAUUUUCAAUGGUCUUGUGAAAUGCUAUGAAUUCAGAGCAUCACUUCAGAAACCCCGAUUGCAUCCCUCAGAAAAAGUGCCCAGCCACCGGGCCAAACCCUCUUAUGCCUCUCCUUGGCAAGGUUUGAGGAUCCAGCUUUUAUGUAGGCCCUGUCUUCUGACACCCUAAAAUAAAUAGUCCUCUUUUUCUUCUUCUGGACCCCUCUCUCUCCUUAACUCACUUUAAUUUUAUCUUCCAGAAUGUGUUUCUUACGAUUCCUUUAGUUUUAGCACAUCACAGUUCAUAAAUGCCCAAAACUGGCUGCUGGAGAACCACAACCCCUUUCUGCACAUGCAUGAGGAAAUUUUCCUUUAGGCCCUGAAAGCAAAGUCCUGUCCAACUCAAGCAAGCUAAUUGUGAGAUGCUGCCCGUAUGAACUUUCCUAUUAUUGCACUAGAGAUUCCUGAGUUUUAGUCAACUUGAAAAGAGAUUUUUUUUUUUUCUGAAGGAAUGUAACUCCUUAGACUAACAUAUGAAAUCCAAAACAUAAAAUGCAACUGAAAUAUACAUAGUAAACUAUGGUUGCCACAGUCACCUUUAACUUGUGUUCUGAGAGAAAAGGGUUCCUGGGUAACUGUGAGUGGAAGGAGUUGGAGACCUGAAAGAAAUAUCAGUGAUGUAACCAAAGAGUGGCUGGAAACGGAUGGCAUCCUGGCCUGGUCAAAAACACCACACUAGGCUAUUGAUUACACAGUGGCCUCAAGUCACAACCUAGGGACCAGGGAAGGUCAGCAAUUAUGGACCUGUGUAGCCAUUUGUUAACAAUUUACUUUUCUGUCAUUGCCACAGUGAAAGAAUAACUCUGCACUGUUAUUAUUCAACAAAACUAAGCCAGAAUAUCAUGAGCAGAGAACUGGUAACAGCAUUAGAAAAGACAUCUCAAUUUUUCUUCUUCUAUAUACAUAUAUAGAAGACAUACAUGUAUAUAAACAUACAUACAUAUCUAUCUAUCUAUCUAUCUAUCUAUCUAUCUAUCUAUCUAUCUAUCUGAAAGGAAGAAAUUGUUGGAUAAAAUACAAACGCUCCUCUGACUGCCACAAAGUCAGGUGUCCUAUGUGUAGGAGUCUUGUGAAUUUCCUUUUCUCUGUAACUCCAAAACAAAAUAAACUGUUCUGAUGGUCUGUCUGCAAGUAUAGAAAAUAUUCAUUAUUAUGUCAUAAUUAAGCUUGAGCAAAUGGUGCUUGAUUGUGAAGUGUAAAAGUCAAACUUCGGGAUGCAACUGAG